rnacentral:rRNA from 1 species
UACGUAGGGUGCAAGCGUUGUCCGGAAUUAUUGGGCGUAAAGAGCUCGUAGGCGGUUUGUCGCGUCUGCUGUGAAAACUCGGGGCUUAACCCCGGGCCUGCAGUGGGUACGGGCAGACUAGAGUGCGGUAGGGGAGACUGGAAUUCCUGGUGUAGCGGUGAAAUGCGCAGAUAUCAGGAGGAACACCGGUGGCGAAGGCGGGUCUCUGGGCCGUAAAUGACGCUGAGGAGCGAAAGCGUGGGGAGCGAACAGG